GUGCUGCCUAACUCAUGAACUGUUGAAUGAAGCCAAUAAGGGAACACGGGCUCGAUCCCUGGUCCAGAAGAUUCCACAUGCUGUGGACCAGCUAAGCCCGUGUGCCCUAACCACUGAGUCUUCAUGCUGCAGCUACUGAAGCCUGCGCUCCACAAAAAGAGAAGCCAGUGCAAUGAGAAGCCCAUGCACUUCAACUAGAGAGGAGCCCUCCGCUGGCACAGCUAGAGAAAGCCUGUGUGCAGCAGCGAAGACCCAGUGCAACCAAAAACAAAUUUGUAAAAACCCUGAAAG
ensembl:lncRNA